AAUUAUAGAAGAUUGUUAAUGAUAAACGAAAAAUGAUGUAAAUGUACAGGUAGAGUUCCGCAAUUGUAUUAUAGUUGGGUUGUAAAUGAACUUUAUUAGUGAUGCAUAAUUGAAAUAAAUUAUUGGGCCUGUAUCCACACUUAUGAAUAGGAAACGAGGCUUACAUAAUAUAGGCUUACUACGGGCUUCGGGGGCCUUAAGCCCACCCAGGUCCUAGUGCCGGUCCGGUCCAUGGAAAUGGGUCGUGACAUA
rnacentral:lncRNA from 1 species